rnacentral:rRNA from 1 species
AAAGUUACUAAGGGCAUACGGUGGAUGCCUUGGUACGAGAAGCAGACGAAGGACGCGGCUACCUGCGAUAAGCUACGGAUAGUUGGAAGCAAACUAAGACCCGUAGAUUUCCGAAUGGGGCAACCCGUCACGAGUAAUGUCGUGACACCGGCAUCUGAAUAAAUAGGAUGCACGGAGACAACCUGGGGAACUGAAACAUCUAAGUACCCAGUGGAAGAGAAAACAAUAGUGAUUUCCUGAGUAGUGGCGAGCGAAAGGGAAACAGCCUAAACCGACCAACAUGUUAAAGGCAGCAACCGUUGUGUUGGCGGUGUCGUGGGAUGUUUUUGGAGAUAAUUGCUGAAAUCUCGAAGAGUAAAAAAUUAUAUUGUUAGUUGAAUGUUCUGGAAAGUUCAUCCAUAGAAGGUGAUAGACCUGUAAGCGAAAACAAUGUAACUCUUUGAAAAGCAUUCCCAAGUAGUGCGGAGUAAGUGGAAUUCUGUAUGAAUCCGGGAGAACCAUCUCCUAAGGCUAAAUACUCUCUCGUAACCGAUAGCGCAGCAGUACCGUGAGGGAAAGGUGAAAAGUACCCUUAUUAAGGGAGUGAAAUAGUACCUGAAACCGUAUGCUUACAAGCAGUUGGAGCCUCGACUUGUCGGGGUGACAGCGUGCCUUCUGGAUAAUGAGCCAACGAGUUACUCGUAUGUUGCAAGGUUAAUGACUUAAGGUCAGGAGCCAUAGCGAAAGCAAGUCCUAAUCGGGCGAUUAAGUAACAUGCGGUAGACGCGAAACCGGGUGAUCUAUCCUUGUCCAGGAUGAAGCCCCGAUAAAACGGGGUGGAGGUCCGAACUAGUGUGGGUUGAAAACCGCUUGGAUGAGAUGAGGAUAGGGGUGAAAGGCUAAUCAAACUCGGAAAUAGCUCGUAUUCCUCGAAAUAGCUUUAGGGCUAGCCUCGAGUAAAAGUAUGUAGGAGGUAGAGCACUGAUUGGGCUAGGGCUGUCACAACGGUACCAAACCCAGACAAACUCCGAAUUCCUAUCAUAUGUUUCUCGGGAGUCAGGCAGUGAGGGAUAAGCUCCAUUGCCAAAAGGGAAACAACCCAGACCAUCAACUAAGGUCCCCAAAUAGUAGUUAACAGAGAAAGGAUGUUGAGUUGCUUAGACAACUAGGAUGUUGGCUUAGAAGCAGCCAUUCAUUUAAAGAGUGCGUAAUAGCUCACUAGUCAAGCGACUCGGCGUCGACAAUUCCCGGGACUUAAACUACUUACCGAAGUUAUGGGCUUUCAAUUAAUUGAAAGCGGUAGAGGAACAUUCUGUUUGCAUUGAAGGUGUGGUGUGAGCCAUGCUGGAGCGUACAGAAAAGCAAAUGUUGGCAUUAGUAACGAUAAAUACUGUGAAAAACAGUAUCACCGAAAGUCUAAGGUUUCCUGAGCAACGUUAGUCGUCUCAGGGUAAGUCGAAUCCUAAGCCGAGGCUGAAAGGCGUAGGCGAUGGUAAACAGGUUAAUAUUCCUGUACCUGGUAUGUAUCGUUUGACUGUAAGGAGUGACGCAGGAGUGAAGGUCAGCCACCUGUUGGAUUAGGUGGUCUAAGCAUGUAGGCGGAGAAUAUAGGCAAAUCCGUAUUCUCUUACGCCGAGGUGUGACGGGGAGUCCGUAGGACAUAAACUGACCGUAAUCAUACUGCCGAGAAAAUCUUCGUACAGGAGAUCCAUAUCAGAUCGUACCGCAAACCGACACAGGUAGACGGGAUGAGUAUUCUAAGGUGCUCGAGUGAGCCGUGGUUAAGGAACUCGGCAAAUUAACCCCGUAACUUCGGGAAAAGGGGUGCCUCGAGUAGGUGAGGGUCUUCGCGACCUGAGCUGAAAGAGGCCGCAGAGAAAUGGCCCAAGCGACUGUUUAACAAAAACAUAUGUCUCUGCUAAGUCAAUCAAGACGAUGUAUAGGGACUGACACCUGCCCGGUGCUGGAAGGUUAAGAGGAGAGGUCAGCGCAAGCGAAGCUUUGAAUCGAAGCCCCAGUAAACGGCGGCCGUAACUAUAACGGUCCUAAGGUAGCGAAAUUCCUUGUCGGGUAAGUUCCGACCUGCACGAAUGGUGUAACGAUUUGGGCACUGUCUCAACCACGGGCUCGGUGAAAUUGUGGUACCGGUGAAGACGCCGGUUACCCGCAUAUGGACGGAAAGACCCCGUGCACCUUUACUGCACCCUAAUAUUGGGUUCGGGUAAAGCAUGUGUAGGAUAGGUGGGAGGCUUUGAAGUUGGAGCGCUAGCUUCGAUGGAGCCAACGGUGAAAUACCACCCUUGCUUUGCUUGGAUUCUAACCUCGGCCCAUGAAUCUGGGCUAGGGACAGUGUUAGGCGGGUAGUUUGACUGGGGCGGUCGCCUCCUAAAAUGUAACGGAGGCUCUCAAUGGUUCCCUCAGCAUGGUUGGUAAUCAUGCGGCGAGUGUAAAGGCAAAAGGGAGCUUGACUGCGAGACUUACAAGUCGAGCAGGUGCGAAAGCAGGACUUAGUGAUCCGACGGUAGCGAGUGGAAGUGCCGUCGCUCAAAGGAUAAAAGGUACGCCGGGGAUAACAGGCUGAUCUUACCCAAGAGUUCAUAUCGACGGUAAGGUUUGGCACCUCGAUGUCGGCUCAUCGCAUCCUGGGGCUGAAGAAGGUCCCAAGGGUUUGGCUGUUCGCCAAUUAAAGCGGUACGUGAGCUGGGUUCAGAACGUCGUGAGACAGUUCGGUCCCUAUCCUAUGCGGGCGAAGGAUACUUGAGAAGGGUCGUUUCUAGUACGAGAGGACCGAAACGAACGAACCUCUAUUGCACCAAUUGUCACGCCAGUGGCAUAGUUGGGUAGUUAUGUUCGGUUGUGAUAAGCGCUGAAAGCAUCUAAGCGCGAAGCACGCUUCAAGAUGAGGUAUCCCUCCAUUUAUGGACUAAAGACUCCUUGAAGAUUACAAGGUUGAUAGGCUGCAAGUGUAAGUGCCGUAAGGUAUUCAGCUGAGCAGUACUAAUAAGUCGUGAGACUUUUCCAU